rnacentral:tRNA from 1 species
GCUCGCGUGGCGGAAUUGGUAGACGCGCCAGACUUAAAAUCUGUUGCCUGUACAGGCGUGCCGGUUCGACCCCGGCCGCGAGCACCA